UACGUAGGGUGCGAGCGUUAAUCGGAAUUACUGGGCGUAAAGCGUGCGCAGGCGGUUUUGUAAGUCUGUCGUGAAAUCCCCGGGCUUAACCUGGGAAUUGCGAUGGAGACUGCAAGGCUAGAAUCUGGCAGAGGGGGGUAGAAUUCCACGUGUAGCAGUGAAAUGCGUAGAGAUGUGGAGGAACACCGAUGGCGAAGGCAGCCCCCUGGGUCAAGAUUGACGCUCAUGCACGAAAGCGUGGGGAGCAAA
rnacentral:rRNA from 1 species